rnacentral:rRNA from 2 species
CAUGCAGUCGAGCGAACUGAUUAGAAGCUUGCUUCUAUGACGUUAGCGGCGGACGGGUGAGUAACACGUGGGCAACCUGCCUGUAAGACUGGGAUAACUUCGGGAAACCGAAGCUAAUACCGGAUAGGAUCUUCUCCUUCAUGGGAGAUGAUUGAAAGAUGGUUUCGGCUAUCACUUACAGAUGGGCCCGCGGUGCAUUAGCUAGUUGGUGAGGUAACGGCUCACCAAGGCAACGAUGCAUAGCCGACCUGAGAGGGUGAUCGGCCACACUGGGACUGAGACACGGCCCAGACUCCUACGGGAGGCAGCAGUAGGGAAUCUUCCGCAAUGGACGAAAGUCUGACGGAGCAACGCCGCGUGAGUGAUGAAGGCUUUCGGGUCGUAAAACUCUGUUGUUAGGGAAGAACAAGUACGAGAGUAACUGCUCGUACCUUGACGGUACCUAACCAGAAAGCCACGGCUAACUACGUGCCAGCAGCCGCGGUAAUACGUAGGUGGCAAGCGUUAUCCGGAAUUAUUGGGCGUAAAGCGCGCGCAGGCGGUUUCUUAAGUCUGAUGUGAAAGCCCACGGCUCAACCGUGGAGGGUCAUUGGAAACUGGGGAACUUGAGUGCAGAAGAGAAAAGCGGAAUUCCACGUGUAGCGGUGAAAUGCGUAGAGAUGUGGAGGAACACCAGUGGCGAAGCGGCUUUUUGGUCUG